AGCAGCCGCGGUAAUUCCAGCUCCAAUAGCGUAUAUUAAAGUUGUUGCAGUUAAAAAGCUCGUAGUUGAAUUUCGGGAUCAGAGUGUCGGUCGUGCCUCGGUACGCACUGGUAUUAUUGGUUCCUACCUUCUGAAGAACUGCGAUGUCAUUAAUUUGGUGUCGUGGGGAAUCAGGACUGUUACUUUGAAAAAAUUAGAGUGUUUAAAGCAGGCUUACGCUUGAAUACAUUAGCAUGGAAUAAUGAAAUAGGACGUUUGAUUCUAUUUUGUUGGUUUCUAGGAUUGACGUAAUGAUUAAUAGGGAUAGUUGGGGGCAUUAGUAUUCAAUUGUCAGAGGUGAAAUUCUUGGAUUUAUUGAAGACUAACUACUGCGAAAGCAUUUGCCAAGGAUGUUUUCAUUAAUCAAGAACGAAAGUUAGGGGAAUCGAAGACGAUCAGAUACCGUCGUAGUCUUAACCAUAAACUAUGCCGACUAGGGAUCGGAUGAUGUUAAUUUUUAAUGACUCAUUCGGCGCCUUAC
rnacentral:rRNA from 1 species